rnacentral:rRNA from 1 species
UCUGGUGUCCUAAGUGUAGAGGAACCACACCAAUCCAUCCCGAACUUGGUGGUUAAACUCUACUGCGGUGAAGAUACUGUAGGAGAGGUCAUGCAGAAAAUAGCUUGAUGCCAAGA